CGCAGAAAUAGGCCUCAAAGGAAAGGCGCUUUUAAAAGGUGGAAAUGCUCCGAUGGUUACUUAGAUUAUGUGCGAAAGAAAGUACAUCAGAACAAGGUAGGGUAAAGGCAGUGUGAUGCUCUAAUACUAUAAAUGCUAAUAUUGAAGUAAAGAUUGGUUGGGAGUCUGUGCUAAGAUAGCUACUUGUAUGAGCUGCCAUUUCCCUAAUCAUUAGCCUGGGCUCUGAGUUUGCAUACCCAGGCCCCAGCGUAAGGUUCAGGCCCAAGGCACAGCUUAAGCCCUUUGGGUCAGAGGAUUUUGAUCCAGGUGUUCCUAAAUUGAGAUCCACCCCAACCACCAUGCCAGGGACCUAUCCCUCUGUGUCAACUGGGCAAAGCAUCUUCCACCCCACCUAGAGGGGAUUGUCUGGGGGAAAGCAGGAGUGCUAGACUCUAGUUGAAAUGCCUUUAUGGCCUUCAAUUCCAGUGAAUAGGCCUUCAAGGACAGAGUGAAGCCUAGAAAGGGUGAUGAGGCCCUGGAAGCAUAACAGACUUCACUCAGGUUAGACUUCACUGCGGCAAGUUAUUUACUUGGAAGUAUAUUGCCCUGUUGUGCCCUGUGAGCUUCUUAUCAAGACCAUUUACAAGACAGCUUCAAAAAUAUCUAUCUGCUUUUCUGGAUUUGAGAGUAGCACAAGUGCCCUUUCACUUCCAAAUUCAGUGCUAGCUGCACAGUUUUUUAAUAUUCGGUUAGCUAUUACUAAAUGAGUUACCCUUAUAUUUCAUGUGAUCUCCACAAAGUUCCUAUGGCUAGGCCUUCUUUGUAUUGUUACCAUCACUUCUGUGACAUCUGCUGGUCUAUGUUAAAACAGAAGCAAACAUUUCUCUCUUUUCCAAACAAAGCAAUGGCAUAGGUUUUUGAUGCAGGUUGGGAACACAGCGUGUGAUUGCCAUUUCCCAGACACUCCCCCAUGGGCUGCUGUUUGCACCUUUGCAAUUCAGGGAAGGGAAAUGGUCAGGGGGAAAGGGUUAAUAUUUUCCUUCUACUUUAACACAUUCUGAUUAAGAAAAGGACCCCUCUUAAUAUGCUGUCUGCAUAAUUAAUUGUUCAGAGUACAAACUGAUAUCUUUGCACAUCCCCCCAUAUGCAUUUGUCCUUUAUUUGCUUCUUAACUGAUGAGGCAAACAGAGAACUUCAGUGAUUUUUGUUAGCUGAAUAGGAUCACAGAUCACAGACAGAAAAGCAGUCAAGGCUUCCACCGCCGUCAAAAUGAGAUCUACUUCAGAAAACAAAAGGGUAGGCUCACAACACGUGAACACAAUGUAUUUUUUCAACUGGCUUUUGAUUUUAAAACAAAACAAAACCCUUGAAAGAAAACAUUCAUUUGGGGUAGAGGAAAUGCAUUCAUUUUCAUAAAUACAUGGCUCCUACCCUUCCCAGCUAUAUUUCAAAAUGUUUUUGUUAGUAAUCUUGAUCCCUAAAAGUAUUGAGGAAGGACUUUAGAUCACUGGUAGAGCAUCUGAUUUGUAUGCAGAAGGUCCCAGGUUAAAUCUCUAGGUAGGCCUCAGACCCUUGAAGACCUGUUGCCAGUCAGUGUUGGCAAUAAUGAGUCUGACUCAGGAUGAAACAGCUUUCUGUGGUCUUGAGUAAACAGUAUAUAACAUGCAAAUUUUAAUUUUAAAUAAAAAAAGUUAAAAUUUAUUUUUUAGAAAUUACUGAUUUUUUAAAAAAAUAAAAAGCAGCCUCAGGAGGCUGGCUCUUCAGCAGAGGAGUAAGAGGGGAAGAAGUACUUCACCCUUUUCCUGCCGUCUAUUAUUUCUGCUCAAAAGUGCCUUUUAUUUCUGCUUCCCUUCCUUUGAGGUUACAAUAUACUGUAGAUACAACAUGCCAAUGCAAGUAGCAAUAUCGAGCCCUGCAAAGGAAGUGGAGAGAAUCACUGUGUGGAGGGAGAUGGUUUUGAGCAAGAAAAUCACUGGUAUGGAUAGUCGUUAAGAAGUUUUUUCCAUCAUUCCUUCAUUCAAAACAGUCCCCAGGGGCUUCUAUUAAUGAUGACAAAAUAAUUUUGGAACAGCAUUGUCUUGUGGGCAAACUUCUUGUGGUUGCAUGUCAGUGGUGGGUGGGACCAGAGGCAAAAGUAGGCAGAGGGAUGGAUGCGACUCUUGCUUAUUAUGCAUUGGGUUACAUUUUAGGUACACAAAAGCCAUGUUUCCACACAGAGAGAGACAGGCAGAUACUUCCUCUCCAGGUAAGCAACAGCACAAUUCAAGGGCACAACCUAGGCAGGCAAAAAAACGCAAUGAGGAUGCAAACAGGAAUGAGAAAUAAAUGUAAUUCAGUUCAGAUUUGAAGGUGAACUUACCUAAUUUAUGCUUCCCUAAAUGCUAUGUGAACUGAAUGCCAACCAUCCUUCAAAUUUUGCACUUCUCUGAAUUUUGUAUUUCAGUUUUCCAGCCAAGUAAUGCAUACAAAAAUGCACAUACCAUGGUAAAGUCUGUAUAUAAAUGCAUUCUUUCAUGAACAUAACAUGCCAAAAUGAAUUGUAUUAGAAAAUUGUUUUGCAAAAAUGCACAUAUUAUGCAAAAUUGCAUAUAAAAGUGCAUUUUAGGAAGUAAUUUACACUGAAAUGCUGGUGAAUUUUCCUGGGAACUUUUUUAAAAAAAAUCACAGUAGUGUGGUCAUGUGGGAAACUGAAUUUAAGUCUGGUGGGAAAUCAAGGAUUGGAAUAAAAGUUGGGAACCAUGACCCUUAAAAUCAGUUUCCAGUUUCCUUAAGGAAAACUCCUUAAAAUUAUUACAUAGAUUACACACACACACACACACACACACACACACACCUACCUUCUAUAUCAUAUAAUUGUUGAUGGGGUUGCAAUAAACUUGGUUUAUAUCAUUAUUUAUGCUGGGAAUAUCAGUUGGUGCAAGAUUUUGGGAAUUAAAUUUUGACAGAAAUGAUAAAUAUUACUAAAGAAACUAUAGUUUGUUGUCCAAAAUUAAUGUUGCUGAAUAUUUCCUUGAUGAUAAUGUAAAUAUAUUGUCAAAAGAAUUGGUUUUAUAUAUGAUAUAGACAGCCCAAAUAGUAACUGCAGCUUAACGGAAAACAGCCCAAAAUCUGAACUCUUGCUACUGUUGUUGUUUAGUAGUUUAGUCGUGUCCGACUCUUUGUGACCCCAUGGACCAGAGCACGCCAGGCACUCCUUGCUACAGUUCACUCUAAAUAUAGUAGACAAGAUCAAGUGUAAUUUGAGAUUUCAACAAGGACUAGAACCUCCAGACACAUUUUUAUAUAAUUGGCAUCCCUUUAUGUCCUAUAUAGCAGAACCAUCAUUUUCAAGACAACCUUCAUCACAAGCCUGACAAAUCUGCAACUAAGCUUGAUGAUCUGAUAAAGUCAGUACUCUUUGCUUGGGCUUUGUUAUUUUAACUCAUGUACAAC